UACGUAGGUGGCAAGCGUUGUCCGGAUUUACUGGGCGUAAAGCGUGCGCAGGCGGUGAUGUAAGACAGUUGUGAAAUCCCCGGGCUCAACCUGGGAACUGCAUCUGUGACUGCAUCGCUGGAGUGCGGCAGAGGGGGAUGGAAUUCCGCGUGUAGCAGUGAAAUGCGUAGAUAUGCGGAGGAACACCGAUGGCGAAGGCAAUCCCCUGGGCCUGCACUGACGCUCAUGCACGAAAGCGUGGGGAGCAAACAGG
rnacentral:rRNA from 1 species